AUGGAUAAGGUGGCGUCAAGCUCGGGAUCUGCCAGCUCUGACCUCGAAGCAAUGAUGGAGGAUCUGGGCUUGAAGGAAGAAGAUCUCUAGGAUGUUGUGGUGGAGGAUGGCGAGCUGCCGAUGGAGGCGACCCGCUGGAUGGCUCUUGCUUGGGUUCAUACCGAUAAAACCUUCAGCCAAUAUUGGUUCUAUAGGAAUAUGAGGGUGGCCUGGGAUUUGGCCCAGGAGGUGAAGAUAAGGCCGCUAGAGGACAAUCUAUUCUCAAUGCAAUUCUCCUGUCUAGGGGAUUGGGAAAGAGUGAUGGAAGAGGGGCCAUGGAACUUCAAAGGAAAAGCGGUAGUUUUGUCACACUAUGAUGGAUUCACCCAGCCUUCAUCUAUUGAACUCAACAAGAUAGACAUCUGGAUCCAGAUCCAUGAUCUGCCGGAUGGUUUCUUCCCAAAGAUCAAGGCUCUUUCAGCAACGGUGGGAGAAUUCAUAUACGCAGAACCAAAAUCACAAGACUUUGAAGGAAACUUUGCGAGAGUGCGUGUGAAAAUUGAUGUAAACAAGCCCCUCAAGAAUGUUCUCUUGCUAGUGGUCAAGAGGAAGGAUGUCAUGGAAAGAGUAAUCUUAAAAGUUAAAUAUGGACGGUUACCCGACUGGUGCGCCGUAUGCGGACAUCUAGGGCACUAG
rnacentral:rRNA from 1 species